CCUACGGGUGGCAGCAGUGAGGAAUUUUCGUCAAUGGGCGCAAGCCUGAACGAGCAAUGCCGAGUGAACGAGGAAGGUCUUCGGAUCGUAAAGUUCUGUUGAAGGGGAAAAAGAGCGGAGAGAGGAAAUGGUCUCCGAUUGAUAUUACCCUUCGAGGAAGUCACGGCUAACUACGUGCCAGCAGCCGCGGUAAUACGUAGGUGGCGAGCGUUAUCCGGAAUGAUUGGGCGUAAAGGGUGCGUAGGCGGCCUGCUAAGUCUGGAGUGAAAGGUACCGGCUCAACCGGUACAGGCUCUGGAAACUGGCGGGCUAGAGAGCAGGAGAGGGCGGUGGAACUCCAUGUGUAGCGGUAAAAUGCGUAGAUAUAUGGAAGAACACCAGUGGCGAAGGCGGCCGCCUGGCCUGUUACUGACGCUGAGGCACGAAAGCGUGGGGAGCAAAUAGGAUUAGAUACCCCAGUAGUC
rnacentral:rRNA from 1 species